rnacentral:rRNA from 1 species
UUCCGGUUGAUCCUGCCGGAGGGCCAUUGCUAUCGGAGUCCGAUUUAGCCAUGCUAGUCGCACGGGUUUAGACCCGUGGCAGAUAGCUCAGUAACACGUGGCCAAACUACCCUAUGGACCGGAAUAACCUCGGGAAACUGAGGCUAAUUCCGGAUACAGCUCUCAUGCUGGAGUGCAGAGAGCUCGAAACGUCCCGGCGCCAUAGGAUGUGGCUGCGGCCGAUUAGGUAGACGGUGGGGUAACGGCCCACCGUGCCAAUAAUCGGUACGGGUUGUGAGAGCAAGGGCCCGGAGACGGUAUCUGAGACAAGAUACCGGGCCCUACGGGGCGCAGCAGGCGCGAAACCUUUACACUGCACGACAGUGCGAUAAGGGGACUCCGAGUGCGAGGGCAUAUAGUCCUCGCUUUUCUGUACCGUAGGGAGGUACAGGAACAAGUGCUGGGCAAGACCGGUGCCAGCCGCCGCGGUAAUACCGGCAGCACGAGUGAUGGCCGAUCUUAUUGGGCCUAAAGCGUCCGUAGCUGGCCAGACAAGUCCGUUGGGAAAUCGACGUGCCUAACGCGUCGGCGUCCAGCGGAAACUGUCUGGCUUGGGACCGGAAGACCCGAGGGGUACGUCCAGGGUAGGAGUGAAAUCCCGUAAUCCUGGACGGACCACCGGUGGCGAAAGCGCCUCGGGAAGACGGAUCCGACAGUGAGGGAUGAAAGCUGGGGUCUCGAACCGGAUUAGAUACCCGGGUAGUCCCAGCUGUAAACGAUGUCCGCUAGGUGUGGCGCAGGCUACGAGCCUGCGCUGUGCCGUAGGGAAGCCGUGAAGCGGACCGCCUGGGAAGUACGUCUGCAAGGAUGAAACUUAAAGGAAUUGGCGGGGGAGCACUACAACCGGAGGAGCCUGCGGUUUAAUUGGACUCAACGCCGGG